rnacentral:lncRNA from 1 species
AACGGGUCUUGUUGGAACCGGAUUCGGGCGCAUCCAGUUCCGGGCGUAGUAAAAGUACCCCAUCGGUCAAUCAACCGCAACCAGGAGAACAAGCUAUGCCUCCCGCUAGGCCUGUUGUGCAGGAAGCUGCUAAUCAGGGUCCACAUUCUCAAUGAAUGCCGAAACGACUGCCCUAACAUCUAUUUCGUCAGGGUUAUAGUCCAUAAAGGCAGGAAGAUAGAAGCGAUAGCCUUCAUACGCUGAAGCAAAGGUGAUGAUAAAGUCUUCGUACCUUGUACGCUGCACUAUUGUCAUUAACUCUGUUAAUAGAACACUCAAGCUAAUACAACCUCUGACCUCUCACAUUUUUUCCUCUAUUUAGCUUUCAUCCAUUACCAUU